rnacentral:lncRNA from 1 species
GCAUGUGCAGAUGUUGCAUGCACGUGUGCACACGUGUGCAAGUUCUUGUGCACAUGUGCUACUACAUGCAUAUGUGCAGCACAUGUAUCACACGUGCGCAAGUUCUUGUGUACAUGUGCACAUGUAUGCAUUUGUAGUAGUAUGUAUGGAGCAUACCACUACAAAUACGUGCCUUGAUCUGUUUCGGAGCGGCGUGUGGUCGUUUCAAAACAAUCGGAAUGCGUAUUGGUUUUGGCGGAGUUGUCCACGGUGUGCUGUGGUUACUUCAUGAUGACCACGAAGCGAAGUAGUGUUGAGCAUUGGUGUUUGGUUGUAAC